AAUUUGAUCUUGGUUCAGGAUGAACGCUAGCUACAGGCUUAACACAUGCAAGUCGAGGGGCAGCAUUGGAGUAGCAAUACUCAGAUGGCGACCGGCGCACGGGUGAGUAACACGUAUCCAACCUGCCGCUUACUCGGGGAUAGCCUUUCGAAAGAAAGAUUAAUACCCGAUGGUAUAAAGAGUUCGCAUGUUCUCUUUAUUAAAGAAUUUCGGUAAGCGAUGGGGAUGCGUUCCAUUAGAUAGUUGGCGGGGUAACGGCCCACCAAGUCUACGAUGGAUAGGGGUUCUGAGAGGGAGGUCCCCCACAUUGGAACUGAGACACGGUCCAAACUCCUACGGGAGGCAGCAGUGAGGAAUAUUGGUCAAUGGACGAGAGUCUGAACCAGCCAAAAGUAGCGUGAAGGAUGACUGCCCUAUGGGUUGUAAACUUCUUUUAUAAGGGAAUAAAGUGAGGGACGUGUCCCUUUUUGUAUGUACCUUAUGAAUAAGGAUCGGCUAACUCCGUGCCAGCCGCGGC
rnacentral:rRNA from 1 species